AUUGAACGCUGGCGGCAGGCCUAACACAUGCAAGUCGAACGAGUGGCGGACGGGUGCGUAAUGUCUGGGAAACUGCCCAUUGGAGGGGGAUAACUACUGGAAACGGUAGCUAAUACCGCAUACACUCGGAUGUGCCCAGAUGGGAUUAGCUAGUCGGUGGGGUAACGGCUCACCUAGGCGACGAUCCCUAGCUGGUCUGAGAGGAUGACCAGACACACUGGAACUGAGACACGGUCCAGACUCCUACGGGAGGCAGCAGUGGGGAAUAUUGCACAAUGGGCGCAAGCCUUAUGCAGCCAUGCCGCGUGUAUGAAGAAGGCCUUAGGGUUGUAAAGUACUUUCAGCGAGGAGGCGUUACCCGCAGAAGAAGCACCGGCUAACUCCGUGCCAGCAGCCGCGGUAAUAC
rnacentral:rRNA from 1 species